rnacentral:tRNA from 1 species
UGCAUCGGCCGGAAAUCGAACCUGGGGCGCCCGCUUGGCAGGCGAGCAUUCUACCACUGAACCACCGAUGC